UACGUAGGUCCCGAGCGUUGUCCGGAUUUAUUGGGCGUAAAGCGAGCGCAGGUGGUUUAUUAAGUCUGGUGUAAAAGGCAGUGGCUCAACCAUUGUAUGCAUUGGAAACUGGUAGACUUGAGUGCAGGAGAGGAGAGUGGUAUUCCAUGUGUAGCGGUGAAAUGCGUAGAUAUAUGGAGGAACACCGGUGGCGAAAGCGGCUCUCUGGCCUGUAACUGACACUGAGGCUCGAAAGCGUGGGGAGCAAACAGG
rnacentral:rRNA from 1 species